AGGUGAAGGUGACAGGUGACAGGUGACGGUGACAGGUGACGGUGACAGGUGAAGGUGACAGGUGACGGUGACAGGUGACGGUGACAGGUGACGGUGACAGGUGACAGGUGACGGUGACAGGUGACGGUGACAGGUGAAGGUGACAGGUGACGGUGACAGGUGACGGUGACAGGUGAAGGUGACAGGUGACAGGUGA